CGUCACUUUCGUAAAAGUUGCGCCUCCUCGAGUAAUUUAAUCAAUGGAUCGCAGAGAAAAAUAUUUGAUAAAUCUAUGUUUAUAUAGAUAUUUGUAGAUAUUGAGUUGCAUUAUGGAAAAAUACAUUCAUUUAACCCGUUUAUUUUAAUGUAUUGCUUCUAUUCUGACGAGUAAUGUGAACCGGAAGUACUGUUAUGGUCUCUGUUAAUCCAAUGCCGUUAAAAAUCUAAUUUGUUACUCCAGCCAAAACAGUCUCUUUUCAUUUAGUUUUUCCCAGAUAUAACAAGGUGACUCGUCGGCAGGGCCGAGUUGCUAUCUUCCAUAUUCCUGAUUGCUGCUUUCUUGGCGUACACCAAAUCAAAAGGCACUGAUCACUCCAUUGGUUUACAUUAGAUUUUGAAUCCCCAAUUUUCAGUGUGAACUUAUGUACCCCCCUGUAUGUUUAAAAUGGUGUACGCAUGAGACAUAAGGAUGCUUUCUCCCUCAUGGUGGCCAUCAUGUUGAGGUCACAUGACCAGCCGAUUGUCUGUUACUGGACAU